ACUGCUUUAAUCUCUUUUUCAACGCAAAGCCGCAGCGAGAGGUUGUCUUUGUGUUUGCGAUGGAUAUACUUAAUUAUAUUUCUAAAAUGAUUCUAAUGGCUUGGAAUAGUUAACAGAUGCCUCAUUAAUCUCUGUCGGAUUCAGUUAAACAUAAAUAUGAAAUGAAUGAAUAAGAUAUUCUACUGCCGGUUCUUUCAUAAACCACGUGCACGUGUUGUCAGAAUGUUAAGCUAGCUCCACGUGUUCAGAAUAUCUGUUUAAAAUUAGGCACUUGGCUUUUUUCUAAGUUGGCAGCUGUGGACUAGGAAAGUACUUCGAAGAGAAUUCCACCUUGCUAUGAAUAAAGCAUAACAGUAUUCUAUUACUAAAUGGAUUGCUCAUUAAUAGGCACUAUAGAUGAUUCCACAUCGUCUUAACAACUUAAUAAAUAAAUAAAAUAAUAAUUGGACGUCAAAAGAUAGUUUUCACAUUCACAAUAGUAUCUGGUAGAGUCAACUUCGAAUCUUCAAAGAAAAAAAGAUAAAACAUUCAAAUGGAAAUUUAUUGAAUUGAGCUUAAAAAUACAUGAAUACUCCAAAAUAGCUCCUCACAAUUUACACUGAGAUUAUAAAAAAACAUGGGACCCCGUCACUUUUAUGACUGUUUGGGAAAAAAAUGACCCCACUCACCCUGAAGAUUUUUCUUGAUCCCUGUAAUCAAUGUUAAAAGUACAAUCUGAUUUGAAUAAAAAUGCUAUUUUGUUGUAUUAUAACGUGA